UACGAAGGGGGGCUAGCGUUGCUCGGAAUCACUGGGCGUAAAGCGCACGUAGGCGGAUUGCUAAGUCAGGGGUGAAAUCCUGGAGCUCAACUCCAGAACUGCCUUUGAUACUGGCGAUCUUGAGUCCGGGAGAGGUGAGUGGAACUGCGAGUGUAGAGGUGAAAUUCGUAGAUAUUCGCAAGAACACCAGUGGCGAAGGCGGCUCACUGGCCCGGUACUGACGCUGAGGUGCGAAAGCAUGGGGAGCGAACAGG
rnacentral:rRNA from 1 species